rnacentral:misc_RNA from 1 species
GAGAGAGCAUGAGUCCUAUCGCACUUCCUAACUGAAAUCCAGCCAUUGCUAUACCAACAGCCCUGGCUCGUUCUGUUGGAGGAAACCAUCUAGCAACCAUGUUCAUACAAGGAAGGGCCACACCUUCAGCAAUGCCGAGUAAAGCACGCAUGGCAAGAAGUGCCCAUAACGAAGUUUCAGCAGCCCAAGGAGUCAAAAAUGUGGCCAGUGACCACAAAGCCA